AGGACUGUCUAACCUGAGAAUG
rnacentral:miRNA from 14 species